rnacentral:lncRNA from 1 species
CUUAUUUCUUAAGAAUAUAAAUAAUUCAAAAUAUCUUUAUUUUUCAAAAAUCUCUGGAUUAAAAUCCAGAUCAAGACUUGUAGAUAUUUUUAAAAGAACUAUCCUCAUCUAAAAUAUGACAGAUUUUGCCUGAAGAGCCACUAAUCCUUUCAUCAUCUAUAAUUCUAUUUUAUGAAAUUCUAUUUUAUGAUUUCAUAACUCAUUGGCCUACAGAUGGCAAAAAAAUAACCAGUUAUUUUUCAUAUCCUUUAUUUUCAGAAAAACUGAAACACAAAACAGAACAUGCAUAAUUAAGCAGACCUAUAUUGUCAAUGGCAAACAGAGUUGAGCAAUUCUGUGGCCUAGUGGAUUCAGAUAGCAGAGCUGUGUGACUAGUCUAAACAAUUCUCACUCAAGAUGACAGGGUGUAUGCUAUUUUUACAUGUAGUGAGGAUAACUUUAAAAAAUGGAUAUAUGCUUUAAAUAGUCUUUUUCACACUCCAUGUUGACUAUGCACAUGGCUAUUAAUCACUUGACAGUGAUGAAUCCAAAGUGAGGUGUGCUGUAGGUAUAAAAUAUACACAAAAAUGUGAAAGCUUAGUACAAAGAAGGCAAAACAUCUUAAUAAUUUUUUUGUACCAAUCACAUGUUGAAGUGAUAAUAUUUUGGAUAAAUUGGUUUAAAUAAGAUACCUUAUUAACAUUAAUUUUGCCUAUUUCUUUUUACCUCUUUCAAUGUAGUUAUUAGAACACUUUCGAUUACACAUGUGGCCUGCAUGUGUGGCUCAUCUUAUAUUUAUAUUGGAUAGCUGCUGCUCUGGACAGACCACUUGGCAGAGCUCCUGUCCAUCACAACAUUCCACUCCCACAGCAUGCUGGGAGUUACACCUGGGAGCACUAGAGAAAGCUCUAGCCCAAGCUGAGUGAGGAGGAUUUAUCUGAUGGCCAACAGCAGGGGGAUGCGUGAAGGAGCUAGGUGCUGAGUGCCUGGGGCUGAGUCGGAGGUCGAGAUUGAAAGUGGACGAGGUAGAGGGAGGAAAUAACACAUCUUUGCACUUUCGGUUUCCUUACUAAGUGGAUUUAAGUGAAAGAAGUGAGUAAAUUUAAAAAAUGUAUUAAUAUAGUAGGUCUGUGGAUUUGUAAAUAUAGCAAUUGAAAUUUGUUCUAUACAUCAUUGUGACUGUUCACUUAAUAUUCUUUGAACAAAACCAUUGACAUCAUUGUGACUGUUCACUUAAUAUUCUUUGAACAAAACCAUUGACAUCAUUGUGACUGUUCACUUAAUAUUCUUUGAACAAAACCAUUGACAUCAUUGUGACUGUUCACUUAAUAUUCUUUGAACAAAACCAUUGAUAUAUGUACAUACCUAUAUUAUGAUAUGACUCGCUGGUUUUUAUUGUGAAUUCUGAACUUUUCUAUUUCAUUCUAAACACAGCGGGGGGUUUAUUUUCUCUAUGAUCUCAGGAGCUAGCUAGCUCUAGGUCAUUCAAGGAAGGAGGGAAGCUAACUUCUCUGUCCCUCACUGUUCCCCUCUAACUUUACCUAUACCUGAAGCAGUCAAAUUCUCAUGCUACUUUGCCAUUUGACACUUAAUCAAAAUACCUACACUUAGGAUCCAUGAUAGGAGCUGGUAAUAUCCUGAGUUGUCCAUUCGAAUGUUUCUAUCAGCCUCAGAAGAGUUGAUUGAGUUGCAUUAUGAUGGAAGGAUGUUCAAUAGAUAGGGUACAAGUCUUAAGAUGUUUCUUUUUCUGUUAAAGUUAACAAAGCAGGAAAUUACAAAGAGCAGACAGCCUCAGCCACAUAGGAUAAAAGGCUAUUUUGAAAGUAUAAUUGAGUUCAUUAGCUCAUAUUCCACAAAGUGAAAUGUAUUCAUUUAUUCACUCACUCAACAAUGUGAUGAGAGUCUCCUAGCUAGACACAAGAAGGUAUACAGUAGGUGCUAAUUUCAUGAAAUUUUGCAGGCAAUUAAGAAGAAACCCCACAGAAGACAGUUUAUAGUCCAUAUCUGAAAACUUCAAAACAGAGAAACUCAAAGUUUGCAAAGAGAGAAAGAAAUUCCUUUUAAAGGAAAAAGAUACUAAUUUUUACCUCUUAAAAAUGAUUCAGAGGGCAGCCAUCAGUUCUAGCAUAUUUCCUAAUCAUCACAACAAUGUGUCUGGAAGGCCAAAUUUUCCUGUGGGCUUUGUUACCACUAUUGUUCAGAAGCCAAGAAAUAAGUUGAACUAAGGGAGCCUAGCUUGGUUUUGGUCAUGAUGUUGUGUUACCAAUGAGAUGAAAACACAUGCACUAUUAGAAAAACAAACACAGCAAAAGGAAGUUCCUAACUUUUAAAUUACUUGUAUUUAAAUUAGUCUUAGAGGAAAAGGGAAGGGAAGAGGCAAAAAUUUCUUCCAUUUUAUAAACACAUGUAAUACAAAAUCUCCUUAAUUUGGAAUUAAUUUGGUUGAGCACUUCUGGGCGGGGACCUCUGGAGAUGGCAUGGAACAUGCCUUGAUCUCAGUUUCUCAGUUUCUUAUGUAAUCAGUUGUAGCUAUCACUGAGUUCAUAACACCAGAGUGUAAGACAGGUUAUAUUCCUUAUUAUUCUAAGCCGUAUGUCACCCACUUUGAGCCCUCUUUUGCAUAUCUUGCAGGAAAUCAAAUCUCAGUUAUUAUUCAAGCCCUUUUACUCCCCUGCAUGGAAUCCUACAAGAAUCACAGGCUUACACAGUUCCAGGAACAUAGGGGCCCAUACUUAGUCCAUGGACAGACUUCAUUUCCAUUGAUUCUUCUCCCUGAUGUGGCUGCUGGUCGCUGGGACUCUGGUGGGCAAGACUGUGGUAAAUGAAGUAGACCUUUGCUUGGUGCCUCUCAGAGCUCAUUUGGAACCACAUUUGAGUGGGGGCCUUAAAAGCUGCCAUUCCUACAAGUCCCUCCAAACUCCAGACCCUAUUUUCAGUCUAGGGGCAGGUUCUGUUUUAGGUUGGAUUCCCCCAGAAGCAGAGCUUGAGUUAAGGACUUCUAUGUGUCCAGUAGUAAGGGAGAUCCCAGAAAGCAGGCAUGAGAUAGGAGGGGGAGUAAGCCAGGGAAGGAGGUGUAAACCUUAUAUAUAAACAUCAGGUUGUCCCCUAUCUGUCGAGGAUUGUUGCAUUAGUCUGUUAGGGCUAUAUCAAACAUAACAAAAUACCAUGGACUGGGUGGCUAAGGCCACAGAAACACAUUUUUUCACAGUUCUGUAGCCUAGAAGUCCAAGAUCAAGGUGUUUGAUUUCUCCUGAAGCCUGUCUCCUUGGCUUGCAGACUGCCACCUUCUUGCUGUGUCACCUGGCUUUUUUACCUGGUUUUGUGCGUGUAUAUGUGUACACACUCCUGGUGUUUCUUUUUUUUUUUUUUUUUUUUUGAGAUGGAGUCUCACUCUGUCACCAGGCUGGAGUGCAGUGGCACGAUCUUGGCUCACUGUAACCUUCAACUCCCUGGUUCAAGCGAUUCUCCUGCCUCAGCCUCCUGAGUAGCUGGGAUUACAGGCACAAAUCACCAAGCCCAGCUAAUUUUUGUAUUUUUAGUAGAGACAGAGUGUUGGGAACAGGCCCCCAAAAAUCUGGCCAUAAACUGGCCCCAAAACUGGCCAUAAGCAAAAUCUCUGCAGCACUGUGACAUGUUCAUGAUGGCCAUAACGCCCAGGCUGGAAGGUUGUGGGUUUACCGGAAUGAGAGCAAGGAACACCUGGCCUGCCCAGGGCAGAAAACCGCUUAAAGGCAUUCUUAAACCACAAACAGUAGCAUGAGCGAUCUCUGCCUUAAGGGCAUAUUCCUGCUGCAAAUAACUAGCCAGACCCACCCCUUUAUUUCGGCCCACCCCUUCGUUUCCCAUAAGGGAUACUUUUAGUUAAUCGAAUAUCUAUAGAAACAAUGCUAAUGACUGGCUUGCUGUUAAUAAAUAUGUGGGUAAAUCUCUGUUCGGGGCUUUCAGCUCUGAAGGCUGUGAGACCCCUCAUUUCCCACUUCACACCUCUAUAUUUCUGCAUGUGUGUCUUUUUUUCCUUUUUUUUUUUUUUAUUGAUCAUAUUUGGGUGUUUCUCGCAGAGGGGGAUUUGGCAGGGUCAUAGGACAAUAGUGGAGGG